UGUUGUAAUUAGUUUGUGGGGAUAGAUAUUGAGAUGAGAUGUAUAAUUUCUAUUUUAUAAUUUAUCUUUUGUAUUAUAUAAUUUAUAUGAUAUAAUUUAUCCUAUGUUGUAAUUAGUUUGUGGGGAUAGAUAUUGAGAUGAGAUGUAUAAUUUCUAUUUUAUAAUUUAUCUUUUGUAUUAUAUAAUUUAUAUGAUAUAAUUUAUCAUGUGUUGUAAUUAGUUUGUGGGGAUAGAUAUUGAGAUGAGAUGUAUAAUUUCUAUUUUAUAAUUUAUCUUUUGUAUUAUAUAAUUUAUAUGAUAUAAUUUAUCCUAUGUUGUAAUUAGUUUGUGGGGAUAGAUAUUGAGAUGAGAUGUAUAAUUUCUAUUUUAUAAUUUAUCUUUUGUAUUAUAUAAUUUAUAUGAUAUAAUUUAUCAUGUGUUGUAAUUAGUUUGUGGGGAUAGAUAUUGAGAUGAGAUGUAUAAUUUCUAUUUUAUAAUUUAUCUUUUGUAUUAUAUAAUUUAUAUGAUAUAAUUUAUCCUAUGUUGUAAUUAGUUUGUGGGGAUAGAUAUUGAGAUGAGAUGUAUAAUUUCUAUUUUAUAAUUUAUCUUUUGUAUUAUAUAAUUUAUAUGAUAUAAUUUAUCAUGUGUUGUAAUUAGUUUGUGGGGAUAGAUAUUGAGAUGAGAUGUAUAAUUUCUAUUUUAUAAUUUGUCUUUUGUAUUAUAUAAUUUAUAUGAUAUAAUUUAUCAUGUGUUGUAAUUAGUUUGUGGGGAUAGAUAUUGAGAUGAGAUGUAUAAUUUAUAUUUUAUAAUUUAUCUUUUGUAUUAAAUAAUUUAUAUGAUAUAAUUUAUCAUGUGUUGUAAUUAGUUUGUGGGGAUAGAUAUUGAGAUGAGAUGUAUAAUUUUUAUUUUAUAGUUUAUCUUUUGUAUUACAUAAUUUAUAUGAUAUAAUUUAUCAUGUGUUGUAAUUAGUUUGUGGGGAUAGAUAUUGAGAUGAGAUGUAUAAUUUGUAUUUUAUAAUUUAUCUUUUGUAUUAUAUAAUUUAUAUGAUAUAAUUUAUCCUAUGUUGUAAUUAGUUAGUAGGGAUAGAUAUUGAGAUGAGAUGUAUAAUUUCUAUUUUAUAAUUUAUCUUUUGUAUUAUAUAAUUUAUAUGAUAUAAUUUAUCAUGUGUUGUAAUUAGUUUGUGGGGAUAGAUAUUGAGAUGAGAUGUAUAAUUUGUAUUUUAUAAUUUAUCUUUUGUAUUAAAUAAUUUAUAUGAUAUAAUUUAUCAUGUGUUGUAAUUAGUUUGUGGGGAUAGAUAUUGAGAUGAGAUGUAUAAUUUUUAUUUUAUAGUUUAUCUUUUGUAUUAUAUAAUUUAUAUGAUAUAAUUUAUCAUGUGUUGUAAUUAGUUUGUGGUGAUAGAUAUUGAGAUGAGAUGUAUAAUUUGUAUUUUAUAAUAUAUCUUUUGUAUUAUAUAAUUUAUAUGAUAUAAUUUAUCCUAUGUUGUAAUUAGUUAGUAGGGAUAGAUAUUGAGAUGAGAGGUAUAAUUUGUAUUUUAUAAUUUAUCUUUUGUAUUAUAUAAUUUAUAUGAUAUAAUUUAUCUUAGUUGUUGUAUCGAAUAUUGUCUAAGUUUUAACACUUGAUUAAAUUUGCAGAAAUGGCC
rnacentral:lncRNA from 1 species